AAAAAAUUCUCUAAGUCAUUCAAGGAAAUGGUUGCGAUGUGUUUGGUGAAAGAUCAAACUAAAAGGCCAACUGCUGAGAAGUUGUUGAAGCAUUCAUUUUUCAAAUAUGCUAAGCCCCCAGAGCUUUCUGUAAAAAAACUCUUUGCUGACCUGCCACCACUUUGGAAUCGAGUUAAAGCUCUACAGCUUAAAGAUGCUGCCCAACUAGCUUUGAAGAGAAUGCCUUCUUCCGAGCAGGAAGCAUUAUCACAGAGUGAGUACCAACGGGGAGUUAGCGCCUGGAACUUUGAUUUGGAGGAUUUAAAGCUUCAGGCUUCACUGGUACAGGACGAUGAUGAAAUACAAGAAAUUAAGGAAGAAGAUGAUACCAUCAAAGCUUAUAUGAACUACAAGGAGAAAUCUGUUGCCCUACAAUAUGCUGGAAAAUCAACCCCUAGAAAAGAUUCUAUUGCCAGUGAGCAAGAAAGUAUUGGUGAAGUGCCAGUAGCUGAAUACGAGAUCAAGAAGGGAAAAGAUUUGGAGAGCAGUACACCAGAUUCUGAUCAUUGGGAGAAAAAUGGACUGAAGAAGAAUGCAUCAAAAACAGAGUUGCCACCCCUAACCUCAGACAGGGAUGUCUUACCAGCCAAGAGUAGAACUCAAACACCAAAAGCUCGUCAAAGUCAGAGUGGACCACUUAUGGCUGGCGCUGUACUUAGUCACUCGGCAUCAGAAAGAGUUCGAAGCUCCGAAAGAAGUGAGAUUGAAAACCAACAACCAGGAGAUAAAGCUCAUCCAGUGCGAAGAGCACCCAGCUUUAGUGGGCCUUUAAUGCUUCCAAAUCGAGCUUCAGGAAAUAGUUUAUCAGCUCCGAUUAAAUCAUCUGGGGGAUUCAAAGAUUCCUUGGAUGACAAGUCGAAGCCGAACUUGGUCCAAAUAAAAGGCCGUUUCUCUGUAACAUCAGAAAAUGUAGAUCUUGUAAAGGAUAUUCCAUUAUGUACAGUUCCUCGACGAUCUUCUCAAGGAUCACCACUUAGGAAGUCUGCUAGUGUUGGAGAAUGGCUGGUCGAAUCUAAACAAAUGCCACCCAGUCAACCGCCCAAGGAACUUGGCGUUAAUAAUGUUCCUGCUUCAGUUCUCAUGCCUCACUUACAAAAUCUCUUUCAACAGACGUCAAUUCAACAGGAUCUCAUUGUAAAUCUAUUGAGUAGCUUGCAACUAUCUGAGGCAGGAGAUUCUUCUCAAAAUGGGAAGUUAUCUCCCUUACAGCGCCCAGAGAGCAAUGGAAUUGUUGAAGCAGCUGUUUCUGAGAGGGAGAAGCUAUUAUUAGUCAAAAUAUCUGAGCUUCAGGCUAGGAUGAUUAAUUUGACAGAUGAGUUAACUGCAGAAAAAUUAAAAUACUGGCAGUUGCAACAGCGGUUAAAUGCCAUGUCAAGUUGCGGAGAGGAUGGGGACAGAAGAGAGUUGGAAUCCUGAUGACAAUGAUACGUUUCAUAUAUAAACACCGUGUAUAUUCAGGUUUAAGUAUAGGAAGAGGCAGAGUGUAAUUAUUCUUAUGUCACUGAAUCAUGCACUUGUCCUUGUUGAAUAGCUCGUGUGGGAAGAAUCCAUCUCCAAGAAUCAAUAAACAAAAUAAUGAGCGCAUAGAUAAUUUCUUCAUUUGUUUGACAAGUAGGUGCUGAAAACAAGCUUCUUGUGCAGAUUCACGUCAAGGGAUUAUUAUUUUUAUUUAGAUAUAGAAGAUUGUGGAGGGAGGAAGGGCGGGCUCAGCGGGCAGAGACUAGAGAGUGGGAGUGGUGGGUUCAAUUUCGAAUUUCAUUUGUAGAUCCUUAGUUUAUGAUGUAGUCAAUAUUAAGGUGUAAUUUUGUAUCAUAUAUGAUGAUCAUGAGAUGUGUGUUCAAUAAAGCUUUUAGCUUCA
rnacentral:misc_RNA from 1 species